rnacentral:rRNA from 1 species
CCUACGGGGCGCAGCAGUGGGGAAUAUUGCACAAUGGGGGAAACCCUGAUGCAGCGACGCCGCGUGAGUGAAGAAGUAUUUCGGUAUGUAAAGCUCUAUCAGCAGGAACGAGACAAGACGGUACCUGACUAAGAAGCCCCGGCUAACUACGUGCCAGCAGCCGCGGUAAUACGUAGGGGGCAAGCGUUAUCCGGAAUCACUGGGUGUAAAGGGAGCGUGGACGGCUGAGCAAGCCUGAAGUGAAAGGCGGGGGCCCAACCCCCGGACUGCUUUGGGUACUGGACUGCUGUAGUGCAGGCGAGGUA